CUUCCAGUGACUAUCAAGCAGGCAGAAAAACAUGAACAGGAAAGAUGGGCCUAGCCUCCCAGCCUACAUCUUUCUCCCAUGCUGGACGCUUCCUGCUCUUGAACAUAAGACUCCAAGUUCUUCAGUUUUGGGACUCAGAUUGGCUCUCAUUGCUCCUCAGCUUGAAGACAGCCUAUUGAGUAACCUUGUGUUUGUCGACAUGGAUGCAGCUGAAAGCAAUUGUUAUAAGCAAAUUAAUGCAGGGAUGGAAAAACAGAUGCCACAUGUUCUCUCUUAUAAGUGGAAGCUAACAACCAG
rnacentral:lncRNA from 10 species